AGAGUUUGAUCCUGGCUCAGGAUGAACGCUAGCGGGAGGCUUAAUACAUGCAAGUCGAGCGGGAUUGGUAGCAAUACCAUGAGAGCGGCGCACGGGUGAGUAACGCGUACACGACCUACCUCUGACAGGGGGAUAGCCCUGGGAAACUGGGAUUAAUACCGCAUAUUAUUCUGAUUAAUAAAGGAUUGGAAUGAAAGUUCAGGCGGUCAGAGAUGGGUGUGCGUCUGAUUAGCUAGUUGGUAGGGUAACGGCCUACCAAGGCGAUGAUCAGUAGGGGGCGUGAGAGCGUGAUCCCCCACACGGGUACUGAGACACGGACCCGACUCCUACGGGAGGCAGCAGUAAGGAAUAUUGGUCAAUGCCCGGAAGGGUGAACCAGCCAUGCCGCGUGAAGGAUGACUGCCCUCUGGGUUGUAAACUUCUUUUGGAUGGGACGAAAAAACGGGAUUUAUCCUGGACUGACGGUACCAUCAGAAUAAGCACCGGCUAACUCCGUGCCAGCAGCCGCGGUAAUACGGAGGGUGCGAGCGUUAUCCGGAAUUACUGGGUUUAAAGGGUGCGUAGGCGGCUUUGUAAGUCAGGAGUGAAAGUUUGCAGCUCAACUGUAAAAUUGCUUUUGAUACUGCGAGGCUAGAAUUAGGAUGAGGUCAGCGGAAUGUGGCAUGUAGCGGUGAAAUGCAUAGAUAUGCCAUAGAACACCAAUUGCGAAGGCAGCUAUCUGGUCUUUUAUUGACGCUGAGGCACGAAAGCGUGGGGAUCGAACAGGAUUAGAUACCCUGGUAGUCCACGCCCUAAACGAUGCUAACUCGAUG
rnacentral:rRNA from 1 species